UCUUCUUCGCCUCCUCGACCCCCUCCUCGCGCCGCGCGGGGGCACUGCGCCGGCUGCUCUCCUCGCCGGCCUUCUCCGCGGCCUGCCCCCUCUUCGGCCUCGCCGGCUUCCUCGCCGCCGACCUCACCCCCUCCACCUCCCUGUCCGCCGCGCGUAGCUGCUGCCCGGACUCCUCCCGCCUGCUCUCUGUCUCCGUCGCAUGGGACCGCCGCCCCGAGGAUGUCUCCGGCACGGGCUCCGCGGAGAUCCCGGUCCGCCUCGCCACCGAAUCGCGCGGCCGGCACAAGGUCAUGGCCUUCGUUGGGAUCUUGACCGGGUUCAGCAGUCCUCAAACUUCAUGGCCGCCUUGUUCACUAGUUGAGGGGUCGCUUGAAAUAACUGUCAGCUUGCUCCUGCAGCGGAGUACAUGAGCUUGCCGGCGAGCCAGUACUCGGUGCUAGACGCGGAGCGCAUCGAGCGCGCCGACGACUCCACCUUCCGAUGCUACGUAUACCGCUUCCGCUUCUUCGCGCUCGAGGUCUGCCCCGUCCUCCUUGUCCGCGUCGACGAGGAACCCAACGGCUGCUGCAUUCGCCUCCUCUCCUGAUACAAUUGACAUGAUUUGCUGUGGGAUGCAGCUUCCAUGGUAAAUAGGGUUUUCUGCAGCAGCACUAAAUAAGAUUCAGCUAUUCAACAGCUUACAUCAGAUACUACAAUAGAGUGUCGCUGCAGGUUUGCAUCAUUAUGAACUAUUGAAAAUUGGCAAACUUUAUGCUGGCAAGGAAACCACCAUCCAUUUUUCUGCUUUCUAUCCCAUGCAGUGAAACAGGUACAA